UACUGGCGUUUGCAGCUAUGUGGCAGACCCGCGGCUGGCCGGAGCCCGCGGGAAGCUCGCACGGCUCCUGCCUUCGUGAAUGCCUCAGCGCGGGACAGGCCGGCCGGGCGCUGUGGUGGAAGGGCACGUUAGAGUGUUUUGGGGCUAGCAGCAAGCGGUGCAUGAGGGAGAUCAAAGUCCUUUUUUAAAGAUGGCCAAUCGGUGCCGAGCGCUGGGGGUGCGGAAGGAGGCUGGAGGCCGUGGGCUCCUCGGAAGUGACGGAGAGGAGCUGCCUCCUCCCCUCGUUAGGGAAACAGUAAUCUCCAGUUCUGCUGUCCUGCGGGGAUAAAGCAGGUUAAAAAGUACCUUGCAGAAAACAGCCCAGGACUAACGGGGCGCAAACGACAAUGCAAAUUCCAGUUUUUAUGGUUGAUACAUUUGUAAAUCGGCCAUUUUCUGGAAAUCCUGCGGCGGUUUGUCUGCUUGAAAAUGACUUGGAUGAAAAUUUGCAUCAAAAAAUCGCAACAGAAAUGAACCUUUCAGAAACUGCUUUCAUCAGAAAACUGCACCCUGGAGAUGACUUUACCAAAAGUUCCCGCUUUGGACUCAGAUGGUUCACCCCAGCUGUAGAAGUUCCUCUCUGUGGCCAUGCUACGCUUGCAUCAGCAGCUGUGUUGUUUCACAUACGAAAAAACACAAAUUCAGUUCUCACAUUUGUGACGCUGAGUGGGGAAUUGAAAGCCAGACAAGUGGAAGACAAUAUUGUCCUGGACUUACCACUUUAUGUAACCCACCCACAGGUACUUCAAGAAGUAGAAGAGUUAAUAAAGGCAGCUGUUGGUGACAUGGUUGUUCAAGAUGUCCGUUUUUCUCCUGACACAAUGAACCUCUUAGUUCGUCUCAGUGAUACUUACAAAAGGUCUGUGUUGGAGGAACUGCAAGUGAACGCGCAAGGCUUUUUGUCAGCAGAAAAGACAGGAAAGGUGAAAGGAGUCAUACUCACUCUGAAGGGAGAUUCCAGUGGAAAACAUGAUUUUUACUCCAGAUAUUUUUCACCUUGGUGUGGAGUUCUGGAAGACCCUGUAACAGAUGAUUGAGGAACCAACGAGGAGGGGUGUGAUGCUCGACCUGGUACUGAUGAAUAGAGAGAGCCUGGUUGGGGUUGUGAAGGUUGGAGGCAAGCUUGGCUGCAGUGACCAUGAUGGUAGAAUUCAAGAUCCUGUGUGGAAGAAGCAGGUCACCAAGUAGGACCAAGACCCUGGAUUUCAGGCGAGCUGACUUUGGCCUUCUCAAAGAUCUACUUGGAUGGAUUUCAUGGGAUAUGAUUCUAGAAGACAGAAGUGCCCAUGAGAGCUGGUCAGUCUUCAAACACCACUUCCUCCAAGCCCAGGAUCAGUGUGUCCCAAUGUGCAAGAAAGGUGGAAAAGGAGGUAGGAGGCCUCCAUGGAUGAGCAAGGAUCUCUGGGACAACUCAGACAGAAAGCAGCCACCUAUGAGAGGUGGAAACAGGGGCUGGCUUCUUGGGAAGAGAAUAGGGACAUUACCAGGGCAUGCAGGGGUGCAACUAGGAAGGUUAAAGCCGUUCUAGAAUUAAAUUUAGCCAGGGAUGUUAAGGACAGCAAUAAGGCAUUUCUCAAGUACAUCAGCAGCAAAAGGAAGAUUAGGGGGAUUGUGGACCCGCUGCUAAACACAGAGGGUGCCCUGGUGUCUGAGGAUGCAGAGAAGGCUGAACUACUGAAUGCUUUCUUUGCUUCCGUCUUUACGGCCAAGGCUGGCCCUUGGGAAGCCCAGUCCGGCAAGGAUAACAGGAUGGCCAGGACAGCAGAGAACUUGCCAUGGGUGGAAGAGGAAGAGGUUAAAGACUUGUUGGCCAAGCUUAAGGCUCAUAAGUCAAUGGGUCCUGAUGGGAUGCAUCCUAGAGUACUGAGGGAGCUGCUGAUGUGAUUGCUAAGCCUCUCUCCAUUUUUGAACAAUCAUGGAGGACAAGCAAGGUGCCUGAGGACUGGAGAAAGGCCAAUGUCACGCCAGUCUUCAAAAAGGGCAGGAAGGACGACCCAGGAAACUACAGGCCAGUCAACCUCACCUCCAUCCCUGGAAAGGUGAUGGAACAACUCAUCCUGAAUGUUAUCACUAAACAUAUGAAGGAAAAGAUGGUUAUCAGGGGGAGUCAACAUGGCUUCACCAAGGGGCAAUCCUGUUUGAUCAACCUGAUAUCCUUCUAUGAGUGCAUAACCAUCUGGCUAGAUGAGGGGAGAGCAGUGGAUGUCAUCUACCUUGACCUCAGCAAGGCUUUUGACACUGUCUCCCACAACAUCCUCAUCAGAAAGCUCAAGCAGUGUGGCUUCAAUGAGUGGACAGUGAGGUGGAUUGAGAGCUGGCUGAAUGACAGAGCCCAGAGGGAGUCGAGUUGGAGGCCUGUGGCCAGUGGAGUUCCACAGGGAUUGGUUUUGGGGCCAAUCUUGUUCAACAUCUUCAUCAACGACCUGGAUGAGGGGACAGAGUGUACCCUCAGCAAGUUGGCUGAUGACCCCAAACUGGGAGGACUGGCUGAUUCCCCAGAGGCUGUGCUGCCAUUCAGCGGGAUCUCGACCGGCUUGAGAGUUGGGCAGAGAGGAACCUUGUGAGGUUCAACAAGGACAAGUGCAGAGUCCUGCAUCUGGGAAGGAACAACCCCAUGCACCAGUACAGGCUGGGGGUCGAACUGCUGAAGAGCAGCUCUGCAGAGAGAGACCUGGGAGUCCUGAUCGACAAUAAGCUAACAAUGAGCCAGCAAUGUGCCCUUGUGGCCAAGAAGGCCAAUGGCAUCCCUCAACUCUGCCCUGGUGAAGCCUCAUCUGGAGUCCUGUGUCCAGUUCUGGGCUCCUCAGCUCAAGAGGGACAGAGAACUUCUGGAGAGAGUCCAGUGCAGGGCCACCAAGAUAAUCAGGGGACUAGAACAUCUUUCAUACGAGGAAAGGCUGCGGCAACUGGGGCUGUUUAGUCUGGAGAAGAAGAGAUUGAGGAUCUACCCAUGCUGUUUUAGGCAGCUACUGGUCAGAGCAGCUGGGGAAGAAAGAAAUGCUUGCUUUUCAAUGUUCUCGCCGUG